rnacentral:rRNA from 1 species
GAUGAACGCUGGCGGCGUGCCUAAUACAUGCAAGUCGAGCGAACAGACGAGGAGCUGCUCCUCUGACGUUAGCGGCGGACGGGUGAGUAACACGUGGAUAACCUACCUAUAAGACUGGGAUAACUUCGGGAAACCGGAGCUAAUACCGGAUAAUAUAUUGAACCGCAUGGUUCAAUAGUGAAAGACGGUUUUGCCGUCACUUAUAGAUGGAUCCGCGCCGCAUUAGCUAGUUGGUAAGGUAACGGCUUACCAAGGCAACGAUGCGUAGCCGACCUGAGAGGGUGAUCGGCCACACUGGAACUGAGACACGGUCCAGACUCCUACGGGAGGCAGCAGUAGGGAAUCUUCCGCAAUGGGCGAAAGCCUGACGGAGCAACGCCGCGUGAGUGAUGAAGGUCUUCGGAUCGUAAAACUCUGUUAUUAGGGAAGAACAAAUGUGUAAGUAACUAUGCACGUCUUGACGGUACCUAAUCAGAAAGCCACGGCUAACUACGUG